rnacentral:rRNA from 1 species
UACGUAGGGCGCAAGCGUUGUCCGGAAUUAUUGGGCGUAAAGAGCUCGUAGGCGGUCUGUCGCGUCGGCUGUGAAAACCCGGGGCUCAACCCCGGGCCUGCAGUCGAUACGGGCAGACUAGAGUGUGGUAGGGGAGACUGGAAUUCCUGGUGUAGCGGUGGAAUGCGCAGAUAUCAGGAGGAACACCGGUGGCGAAGGCGGGUCUCUGGGCAGUAACUGACGCUGAGGAGCGAAAGCGUGGGGAGCGAACAGG